ensembl:lncRNA
UUUUAAGGGUGGGAUUGUUAUGUGGGAGUGUUUUAAUCUGUGUUUCAUUGCAGUUUCCCUGGUCACUCUCCUGCAAUUAACAGGUUAAUUGGAUCCACCUGAAGGGAGUCACUUUAAAUCUAGGACACAUGCUCUUGCUCUCUCUCUCGUUUUGCAGCCAGCACUGCGGUAGCAGUGUUUCUGCUUCUUCAGUCCCUUUUUUUUCCCUUUUGUUAUUAAAAUAAACUUAUUUUGAUUGGCAUACUUUUGUUUUGUGUCCUUUAUGUUGCAUCCCUAGAGCCAGGGUUGUAACAAUCAGUUAAAAAAUGGUUUUAAGUCAGUUAUUUCUAUCGUCUCCAAGAUGUGGAAAACACACUCAAAGGGCUCCUAUGAAGUCAUCGUGUGAAACACUGCCCAAAGCCACUAGAAGGCAAGCCUACAACCUUUAGUCAAAAAAAGCGCAACGGCUAAUGCUAACGGAAUGGAGACCAGAGGCCUUUAUACAGACAGACCCAGUCAGCUCCCAAUAGUAAGACAAUCUCUGCUGAAAGCUGAUCUCAGACUGGAGUCAGACAGAGGCGUUUAUCCCGACAGGAGUUUGUUCCGCUGGAUCAACACUGCCACCUACAGAACGCUGUUCAGGUCAUUAUUUUUUCUCACAUUGAGUGAAACGACUCACUGUGACCCGUUACUUGAUUAACCCAAGUGGAUGCUUUAGAUCCACACAUCUGACAAAUGAGAAGCUGGGAACGUGGUAUUGCAGCAGAUACACACUACCGGAUGUGUGUGUGGCUUUAGCCAAUGAGAAAGGCCCACGGAGAGGGAGGGAGGAGCCGUGUAGUUUUAU